rnacentral:sRNA from 1 species
AUGUAGUAAGUGCUAAGACACAAUUUACUUAUAAGAUCGAAAAUUCAUUCUAUUUAUAUAUAUAUAUAUAUAACAGUAUAAAAAAAAAAAUCAUAACCAAUGCAAAAAAAAAAACUACAAAGAACAUUCUACUCUUACAAAAAAAUAAAAAUUCCAUUGGUAGAUUACAAGUAUGUCUUUCCUAAGUUCCAAUUCCACAGAGACAGAUAUUUGUUAGCCUACAUAUAUAACAAAUUUGGUAAUAUGUUGUAAAACAUGCAUACACACAUCAUGUCUUAUACAUUGUUUUGCAUAAAGUGUAUAUGUUUCCAUUAUGUCAAGUGACUACCUUUCUUCUCUCUCUCUUUUUAUUUUAUUUUUCUCUCUCUCUCACCAAAUGAAUACCUUCUUUUUUUUUUUUUUAUAGUUUAUUUUAAAUUUUAGCAUCCAUUUCACCAUCAAAUUAUAAUGAAAUUAUGUUUUCAUAAAAUAAAAUAAAAUAAAAAAAUCAAAUGGAUUAGUAGAUCAAAUCUGGAAAGAAAAACACACACACAUUAAAAAUAAAAAUCUACUCUCAACAUGAAACUAAUAUUAAAAAUAAUAAUAAAUUUGUUAAUGAAGACUUGUUUCUUGCUACAGUAAAUUGUUACAGAGUUUGAAUCCAAGUUCAGGUAGUGCCUCUGAGCAAAUAAGCUUUAGGUUAUUUGAAAAACAAUAGUAAACUAAGUUAGGAGAAGCAUGUAGGAUUAUAGGAAUGUCAAUGGAUUGGAUGGAAUUUUUUUUUUUCCAAACUCAAAAUCCCUAAUAAAUAAUUCUAUCCACCAAAUUCAAUUGAUCCUUUGAAUUUCUGGAGAAAUUAUUAGGUCCACCAAGUAUACUACUGACGUGGUCUUCCCUGGCCUCCUAGCCAAUAAACUACUAUUAUUUAUGCAAAUGUGACAUCAUCUAGUAAUUUUUACUUUUUAUUCUUUGUGUUAAUUAAGAAGCUUACAUAUACAUUUGCAUAGAUAACAUCAUCUCAUUGAUCAGGGAGGACCAUAUCAGCAGUCCUCCCAAUGUAAAUAAUAAUUUCUCAAAAUUUUGGCUAACUCUUUUUUACACUAUUAUGUACGUUUUUUAAAGCCCAAAUAUAUUAUUAUUAUUCAAAAAAUGAAAGAUUUUGAUUUUUUUUAUCAUCGUUUUCCAAUUUUUUCAUAUAAGCCUUCAAAACCCAACAUUUUUCUAUGUCAUUAUUAUAUAUUAUAUAUACAUACACAUCUUGUUAAACUAUUUUAGUUUUUUUAUAAUAAAUUUGUUAACUUUAUUAAAAAUAGAAGAGAUACAAAACAUUUUGAAUCACAAAGGACUUAAUAAAAGAUGGAGUUUCCUCUAUUAAAGUUACAAUUAUCAAUUCCUUUGGCGUGUUGUGCCAAGAUAUGAGCUAGUUUGUUUUCUUGUCGUCGAACAUGCAACAAUUGAGAUCUUCUGAACUCUUGCAAACUAUUUUGGUUUAAAUUAUUUUUAUUCAAUUUAUUUGGAAUUCAACCAAUUGAGCUAGAUUCUCAAAAAAAAAAAAAUUGAACUAACUGAAACUCAUUAAAUGUUGAAACUUUAUUAUUAAACCAAAACAUUAAUCAGUUUUGGCCUUUUUGAUAUAGUUGGGGAUUGAAUUCCAAAUAUUUUAUUUAACUAUAAAAUAUUUUACUAAUUGAACUAAUUGAAACUCACUAAAUAUCUUUUGAAAGAGAUUAAAUUCUAUAAGGAUAUGGUAUAAAAUUUAAGUUUUACCCAUCCAAUCCUAACAUGCCACAUCAUUAUAUUAAAGAUUAAAAAAUAUACAUAACAACACACCAUUAAUUCUAACAUUUAUUUAAAAAUUCAACUUAACUGUGAAUUCAUUUGAUGUUAUUAGAUGGUAUAAAAUAUAAAUUUUACAACUCAUCUUUACUAAAUUCGGACUCUCCUUGAAAACACAAAAAAUUAAAAAUUUAAAAAAAAAAAUGCCAACGAUAAAUGGUAGUUACAAGAUUGUUGGCAAUGCUUAAAAAGUUUUGGGAACAAUAAAUGGUAGCUAUAAAUAUAAUUACUCAAAAAAAUUUGGUGGUAUUACUUUGAUUUCGUUUUUUCACCCUUCCUAAAAAUGCAAAUUUACUGCUCUCUUAACUAAACACACCCACCCGUUAUCAAAAUUUUAAAAUUUUUUGACAUUUAAUUGAAUAUAUUUACCUUUUUUUUUAGAAUAAAUAAACUCCCAAUUCCAAAUUCCAUUCCCAAUUGGGUAGCUUUGUGAAGGAGGAAAGAGUGGAGAGACUCCAACGACAGACAAACACAGAGCGAGAGAGAGAGAGAAGCUACAGAAUUUCAUCUUCACGCAAACUCCUCCAAUCUCCUAAGUAACUCUUCCCUCUCUCUGUGUUUAUUCGCUCCUUAUUUUUGUUUUUUGUUUUUUUAUAGAUCUCUCCAACUUUCAUUCAAACCAAACCAAACCCAAAAAAAAAAAAAAAAGGGAUUAUUUGAAUUUGAGUAAUAGCAUUUAGUAUCUCAUAAAUAUUUGAACCCAAGAGGCAUGUCUUAUCAGGAUAUAACAUUAAUACUAUUUUAUUGAUUUCGAAACAGAAAAGGAGAAAAUUUUCAGGACAACGAUCCCUCCCCACCCCCACCAAAAAAAAAAAAAAUGGAAAAAGAAGCAAAAAAUUGGAUAACAAAAGGAAGUAUUUGAAGCAACAAUGUUUGAUAAUUCAAAAGAGAUAAUGUUGCAAAGAAACCUUCACAUCCAAAGUCAAACUUGAAAUUAAUCACUAACCAAAUCUACCAUUGUGCAUUUAUGAAGAGCUGGAAUUAAAAGGAAAAAGAAAAAAUAAAUGAAGUGUUGAGACAAAGGACAAGUAAAUAGCUACUAUGUCAACAAAAUCACUGCUAGAGUACACGUGAAUUGCAUUUGGGUUGGUCAAUAGUAUCUGGUGCCAAAAAUUUUCUGUUAAUGGCUGCCAGAGAUAGUUGAUAUUACUUGUAAACUAUUGAGCACUAAUGUGUAUUACACCUUCUUAUUGCACACACAGAACACUAGACUCUGCAUUCACUAAUACAAAAUGUAAAUUUGAUUUUUCUCAAUCUGUGUAAGAUGGUGUCAUAUACUUGACAAUUCCCAUCCCUUCAAGACCUUGGCGUUCGGGUGAGGUGAAGGGGUCAUAUUCAUUAGAUAUGAUAUUGGAGGUAGCACUAAAGUUUGGUUUUGGCAUGUCUACACUCAAGGAUAAGUAUUCCAACUUGUGUUUAAUAGCAAGAUAUAGUAAGGAUACAGUGACAGAUUAGGCAGAGAUCAGGUUUGGACAGAUCUCUUGGACAUUGGCGUUCAUUUGUGCAGUUCAGGAUUAGGAAAUGGAAUCUGCAGCACAGCUAUUAGAGGAUCUUUCCCAAGAAAAUAUCAGGUAUGAGGAGUUAGAUAUGUUGGUGUGGAUUCAUUCGAAGAACCAAGGUUUCCAAGUGAAGAGCUAUUAUAGACUUUUGAGGAGGGUUGGCUUAAAUUUCCCUUGAAGAAGAAUACAGAAAGCCAGGAUCCCACACCAAGUGUGGCUUUCUUUUUGUGGUGUGUGGCUUUGGGGAAGAUUUUGACAGCCAAUAACUUAAGGAAAAGGGGCGUAGUUAUAAUGGAGUGGCGCCUUAAGUGCAAGAAGUAUGGGGAGAAUGCUAAUCACUUAUUUUCACAUUGUGAAAUGGCUAAGGAAUUGUGGUGUAUGAUUUUCUGUAUAUUUGGAGUCUAUUGAGUGAUGCCGAAUUUAUUUCUGUACAUUUGAGGGUCAAGAAUGAGUUUUUUUUUUUUUUUGAUAAGUAAGAAAGAUGUAUAUAUAAUAAGCUACCUUAUACAAAGAGCGCAAAGCAGUCCAAUAAAAUACAAGAAAAAGAAAUUUAUUACAAACAGAAAGAGAACUAAUGAACAAGGGUAGGGAAUCACUAGAUGUGAGUCCCCAAGCUCAAGACCAGUCAGACAGAGACCCACUAAAAAAAGCAAGCAGCUGGUCACCUGAGCUUUCUAUGUCCUCGAAAGUCCGCCAAUUAUGCUCCUUCCAUAUACACCACAUUAAGCACAAUGGAACUAAAUUCCAAAUACUUGAUGAGUGUUUCCCCAACCAAUUCCACCUAUCAAAAAGAACAUCUGAUACCGUUUCUAAAUGUGUAUGGCGAAGCUGAAUUACUCGUUUCUGAGGUCCUUAUAUAAUUUGUCCUUUCUAUCUCCUCAUAUAAUUUGACAUUGUAUAAGAAAUUGGAAGUGAGAUUUUAAAUUUUCCUGAAAGCUAAGUUCUGAGUACAUGCUGAAAAGCCCCGUAACAGUUGACUAUGAAGUUGUAACAGUCCUGUCUUAAGGCAGGAUGGGCAAUUAAGGCCCUGCUGAACUGCUUUAAUAUUAAAUUUGUGUCUUGGCUCGAGGCUAAGAUGUGAAAGUAUCCUAGCGCAUGUAGUGAUUCUCAAGUCAACAUGAUUUAAUUAAAUAUUAACUCUAAAAGAAUAUUUGGAAAUCUUAUUGCAACUGAGAUUUUUUUUAAAAGGAACAUCAUUUUAUUAAUACUCCUAAGGUCUCAUGGUAGAACAAAGAGAAGAUAGAGCAUUAUGAGCUUUAUAACGUAAAACAAAUGCUGUUAGGUUUUAGAUUGUUGAGUGUUGCCAAAUUCUAGUGCCAAAACAUAUCAAAUUUCACUGUAUCAAUAAAAUUGUGCUAGGGUUGAGUCUGGAUUAGAAGCUGCUAAAAGAAGAUAAAGCUUUGAUCUCCUCAAUUAUGAUGAGUUGAUGCUCUUUUGCCUAUAUAACUUGUAUCAUAAUGAAUUUCAUAGUGAAACUUGUUUCAUUGGAAAGUAGAUGCCCGAAGCUUCAAAAUGGAGAUAAAUUUUACCUAAUUUGGAUUUGAAAUGAGUAAAAUAUGGCCUUUUGAAGUUGACACAAAUGUGCUUUCCAAGAGAUGUCACUUGACACUCACUCAAGAAAAAUUGUUGCAAACUGUACACUGACUGUGAAGGCCAUAUGACUUAACCUAAUGAUUCCCUAUAUAAAACCAACCCUUGUUGUACAAGUUGAGUGGUGAGAGGCUACCACAUCAAUAUUAUACUAUGCUGAUAGCAAAUGUCUUUUACAGGAAUCUAAAGGUUUUGGGGCCAUUGCAGUGGGAAGGCAAGAAAGGCAUUUGUAACUUAGCUUGGGAAAGGAACCCCUCCCAUUGAACCCUCCAAUUCCCUCCUACUUUUAGUCGGAUGUGAGACACAUGGCAUUUAUUUGAAUUUUAAAUGUUGCAUGUCUUACAUCUAAAUAAAAAUUGGAGGGAAAUGGAAGAUUCAAUGGGAGGGGAUUUCAUCCCAAGGUUACAAUAGAGAAUCUAGUAGUGCAAAGGAUUUGUAAGUAAACUGUUGUAACUAUUUCUUAUAGUGAGUUUAUAUGGGACUGGACCCCUACAGUGGUUUUUCCUUUGACAAGGUUCUUCAUUGAUUUUCCACUUCUUUACAAAAUCUGUGUUCCUUUUACUACUUUAUAUCUUCAUUGCUUUUGAUUUGGUAUCUAUAACUAUGGUUGAAAUAUUUUUUUGCGCUAUCCAUUGAAAUAAAUCAUAAAUUAUUCAAUCAAGCCGCUGCUUAAUUGUUUGGGGUCUAAAAAAGAUUUUUUUUUUAAGCGGUAUCAGAGCAUUUAGAACACACAAGGUCUACAUAGAAUAUUUCAACUGAAGAUAAAAUUUUUUUUUGUAUUUAUUUAAUUUUAAAUUUAAGUUUGAACAAACCCAGAAGUUUGAGCUGAUUGUUGAAUCAAAAAGUGUGAAAUUGGACUAAUAUCGUUUGCUUACUUGAAAUGUUUCAGAAUUUAUAAACCCUUUUGUGAAUUUUUUUUGGGUUCUGUAAUUGCUUCCUAAUCCACGUUUCAAUGGGUUUUCCAAGUGUGGAACAUGUAAUUGGGUUGUGUUAGGAACUGUUUGAUGAAGUCUUUAUAGAAGGAAUUGUUUCAUAGAGGCUGUUUUCUGAACUAAAGUUUCAAUCUUGGCAAUCUAAAUGUUGUAUAAUUACUUUGUGUUCAUGGGUUCUGGUUAGCUCAAUUGAGGAAAGUCUUUUGCUGUCAGAUAAGGAACGUGGGAUUGAAAAUCCCCCUUACACAAAAAAGAAACCCUGUAGCGUCUUGAGCUUAUGGUAAUUAGCAAUUAUCAUGGAGCAGACACCAUAAGUUUCAAAUCUAUGAAAAUCCAAAUAAUUACUUUGCACUUGCUUAUCCAAAUUUGAAGUGUGUAAAAUUGUAAUUAUGCGGUUGAAUAAUGCUUUUUGUUGUUGUUCUUGUUCCAGAACUGCUUUUGCAAAGUUAGUAUGAUUUUUUUUUAAAUUUUUUCCUGUGAGAUGAGUAGCGGUGUUUAUAAUGCUUUUGCUUCAAUGGUAAUAAUAAAUGAGUAGAAUGAUUACCUGUUUCUGGGGUUUUGAGGGUCCUGUCGAAACCUAUUAACGGAUAGAAUUGCUGCUUUUUGCAGAACUCCACAAGAGGCAUCAACAGGAAUCUGAGAAUUUGAUGAUAACAACGCAACCUUUCAGAACUUUGAAGUUCUUUGUAUUGGCUGUUAUUCAAUAUAUUAAGAGCUCGAUAUCGUAUUUGUUGGCAAAAGGAGGAUGGCUAAUGCUUUUAAGCACCGUGGCAAUUGCUAUUGGAAUUCUUGUUGUAGCAAUUGAUGGCCCUCAUGAGAAGGUAUUUUGCUUUGUGAAUUCUCAUUGUGGCUUCAAUUUUCAGUAGCAAGUUAAUGUUAUGUAUGGACUGCAGAAUCUCUGUAAAUGUAGUUCAGAAUUUUUACUACUCAUAUUUCUGUCAGUCGUGUGCAUUUGAAUUAGCUCUUUGCUUAUUUGCUGAAAGUGGGCAAAAUCACAAUUGAAUAUAGAAAAAGUGAGGCUUUUAUAAAGUUGUACAUAAGCAAAUAAAUUAAAGAGUUCAAAGAAAAAAGCUGUACUGUUCCAUUUUGUGAUGCAAAUGUUGACUUCCCAACUCCAUCUUGCAUGUGUAAUUAGUUCGAAUGACUCGUUAACACCCUAGAGUUCUGUGCAUAUAAUGAAUUUGUUUAUUUCUGCGGUUUGAAACUGCAAUUUUUCAAAGUACAACCUCUUAAAACCUUACUUUCUUCUAGGUACAAUUAUUCACCAAAUUUUCAAAAAGCUGAAAACUAAGUUGUAUUAAAUGUGUACGAUGUCAUUCUCUAAAAAAUAAUCAUAACUUUUUAUUGGAAAUCAAUUUCCUUGUGCCAUUUUCAUUAAUGCUAUGGUUGUUCAUGAGGUUGUGGACAAACUGUUAUAAGCGUAAAGCUCUUUACUUUCCUACUAUUAGGAUGAUAAGUCUGUGCCAAUUUUAUUUUAGCCUUUGAUUGUGAAUUUUUGAGUUUUUAUUUUAUUUCUGACAUUUCUCUUAUUAUUUUGACUCUUGGAUAAAAUGGUGUUCGUGCAAUGUUUCUGCAGCAUGUUGAGGAGAUUUCGAGAUAUUUCCGGUUUGGACUAUGGUGGGUGGCUCUUGGAGUUGCAUCUUCAAUUGGUCUUGGUAAGUAAUUUUUUUGUGCAUAUAGAUAAUUCAUUUUAGUGGCUGGAUCAGUUUUUUUGUGCUCAUGUAAAUAACUGAUUUUUUUUUUUUUUUUUUUGGUUUGAUAUGGCUAUAAUGUUUUGGGCUAGGAAAAUAAUAAGUUUCUCUUUUAUAUUUGUUUGAAGCAUGUAGAUAGUAUAUUCUGAUAAAAAGCACUUUUGUUUAUUCAAACAUCUCUAUUUUGAAUGUUCAACCAAACCAGCAUAGUUUGUGUACUAUAUCAGCACUGGUAUUGUAAAAUCAACCUUUAUUCCACUUGUUUUUCUUCAGGAUCUGGUUUGCAUACUUUUGUCCUUUAUCUAGGCCCCCACAUUGCUUUUUUCACGAUAAAAGCAAUGCAGUGUGGCCGAGUGGAUUUAAAAAGUGCUCCGUAUGAUACAAUUCAGUUGGAAAGAGGUCCAUCAUGGCUUGAUAAGGAUUGCUCUGAAUUUGGGCCCCCAUUGUUCCAGCUAUUAGAUGGUUUGCGGGUUCCGCUUAGCAGCAUAUUGCCUCAGGUUCAGAUUGAGGCUAUUCUUUGGGGUGUUGGGACUGCUAUUGGAGAGCUUCCUCCAUACUUCAUCUCAAGGGCAGGUAUGAGGACUAUAGUUUUUCUUUUAUAUUUCCUAUUUAAGUAAUACUUCCGGGACUAGUUUUAGUUUUUGUGGGUAGGACCUCAUUUCAGGAAGUGAGUUGUAGCUCAAAUGAUUCAAAUAUUGAUAAUGAACUGAAACCUGAGAAAAAAGUGCUCACCACAUAUAUUUUCCAUGAUCCUUUGUUAAAAUGUUUCUUUUGUGAUGUUAAAUUUUUUGAGAUGACUGAAGUUUUCAUUUAGGACAUAAAUCAUUUGCCCAAGGUAUAUGAUAAGGAAUUGAACAUUGUCAACAACUUGCAUUUGUCCCAUUAUGGAGAAAUGAACAAAUAUACAAUAUGGAUGCAAUUCAUUUAGUCCCAAAAUUUGGGUGAAGAAACUGACUUACUUCAACAAGUAUGCUUUAUGCUGGUUCAUAACAUCUGGAAGUUUAAUGCAUUUGACGGUAGGGGCAAACUCAACAUGUUUACUAGGGUCUAUGUAAUGUACAAUAUGGAUGAUCUUAUUCCAUGCUAUGAAGUUUAAUUUAAGCUUGCUUGUUGCCAACUCUAAUUGAUGACAUAUGGUUAGAGUUGGAAAUAUACCCCAUAUGGAGGGUGAUAGCUUAUGAAUAUGUAUUUUAUAUUAGAUAAUCCAUAUGGUUGUCACUACCAAUUGCAAAAAGAGGUAAUUGUGUGUUUCUGUCAUGUAAUUAUUUUACAUUAUCAGCAACUCUUUGAAGCAUCCUAUAUAAAGUUCUGAUGUUUGCUGCUUUGUAGUUUGUAAUACAUGUUUCCUCUAGAGCCUAUGAGCUCUAGCUCAAAUGGCACAUGUUUUAUCUGGAUAUUUAUGCAUCUCAAUUGGAAAUUAUUAUAUUUUAAAGAAAUUAAUUUGGUGAGAGCUUGAAUAUGCAUGAUCAAUGUUCAGCUGGACCUUUUAUGGAUCCUUGCUGAUUUUCAAGUAGUAGGUAUUAGUGAAUGCCAGUUAUAGAUCUUUUACCUGAAUUAGAUGCUUUCAUGUUACUUUGAUUUGGCAUGUUUCCACCCUUUAUUUUGUUAAGGAUUGGCAUUGAUAGUCUUACUUUAUUCUUCUGAUUAAUGAUUUCAUUCUGCUCCUAUACUCAUCUGCCACUUUACACAGCAAGCGAGUCUGGUAAACAAUUGGAUGCAGCGAGUGAGUCAAGCAAAUUGGAUGCCCCCUCAUCUGAAGGAAAAGGAUUCAUUGCUACUCGCCUAAAUCAAAUCAAGCACUGGCUUUUAUCACAUUCCCAACACUUGAAUUUCUUUACAAUUUUAGUGCUUGCUUCGGUUAGUUUGGACCUACUCUGAUUUUAUCACUUGAUUACUCUUUAAUAAAAUAGGCUUGUUUGAAUCUUUUUGACACUGUAUUUGUAUACAUGUUCUCUGACACUCCACUUGAGCAAAAGUUAUUGAUUGUUUCUCUUGAUCACUUUAUUAGCGAUGCAGGAUAAAACCAAAACGAUGCAUCAAUAGAAUUAAAGAACAUAGAAAUAGAGGAUAGAUAACCUAGAAGUUAGCACCUAGGCUAGUUUGGAAUCUGCACCAAGUAAGAGAGAACAAAACCUCAUGGAGUCAGCACCUAGGGUUGGUUGGAGUCAGCACUAGACAAUUGGAAGGAAAAAUUCCAAGAGAAGUUUUAUUAAACAAUGAAACUGUAAUCUUCUCCAGUGCAUAGCAUACUUAUAAGUUAUAACUACUAAAACUAAACCCUAAUUCUAAUUGACUUUGGAAACCUAAUUCUAAAUGACUUGGGAAUUGAAUUACCUCUUUCUCUCUUAGUGAAGAUCCCUUAAAGAAUCAUGAAAAGAAUACACACACACACACACACACACACACACAUUUGAAGAUCCCUUGUGAAUCUAAAUAUGUAAACCCCUUGAUAUCUCUAAAGCCAGAAUCUGUACUGUAUGUGUCCAUGCUGAUAAUUUCUGAAAUUUUGUAUAUGAAUUUGACUUUCUUCCAAAUUUCCUUGGAAACUGUAUUUGCUUGUUAUUUUAUAAUAUCACGUUUGCUAUUUGCUUAUUUUUGUUGGUUCUCAUGUCUGAUUCUGAGAAUUCCGGUUCUCCGGUAAUUUUUGUGUGAUGUUCAUUCUUUGAAAGCAAAAUUAUUGUUUUCUAUCAUGUAAGUUGUCAAUUAACUCAAGUAUUUUUCAGAUUCCAAAUCCUCUAUUUGACCUUGCUGGCAUUAUGUGUGGACAAUUUGGGAUUCCAUUUUGGGAAUUUUUUCUUGCAACAUUGAUUGGAAAGGCAAUUAUUAAAACUCACAUACAGGUUCAAGAAUUCUCACUUUCUUCAGAUAUCAUUCUUAGUUGUUCUAGUUUGUAAUUUGUUUAUUUCUUCCUCACCAAGUAUGUUUUUCAUAUCAAUUAUAACAUUAUAUAGUCAGACAGACUACCAUUUAAAAUUGGGGAAAAAAAAUCGAUUUAUGUGAAUGGACUGCAACAGGGGAAAAUGAUGAGUACAAAACUUUAGCAGUCUCUACAAAGCCAGCUAGAGGGGUUAAUCUCAUAAGCCGUAAUUUGUUUUGGAUUCCUAUUGGCUCUUUGUUUGAUUUCUUUUUUGCCCGCUGCAGACAAUUUUCAUCAUCUCAGUUUGCAAUAAUCAACUCCUUAACUGGAUUGAAAAUGAGUUGAUAUGGAUACUGAGCUUUAUACCUGGUUUUGCUUCUGUCUUGCCUAACGUUAUUGCCAAGCUCAAUGCAAUGAGAGAUAAGUAUCUAAUAGCAUCUGCUCCUGCUACCUCAAAUGUCAAGGUAUUACAUCAUGUGAACGAGUUAUUUAUCUUAAUUUUGGCAUGGUCUGCACUGUAGAGCAUCGCAUUACUAAUUUUCUUCUAAACCUUCCCAGGUGAAGAAGUGGGAUUUCUCAGUUGCCACACUAUGGAAUACUGUUGUCUGGCUCAUGCUCAUGAACUUUUUUGUCAAGAUUGUGAAUUCAACCGCUCAAAGCUAUCUGAAGAAACAACAGGAAAAAGAGCUAGCAAAGCAGUCAUCUACAUAA